ACCAAGCGCGGGUAAACGGCGGGA
rnacentral:ncRNA from 5 species